ACCGUUGCAGGAGGGGGAACAUGCGCUUUACGCUUCAUCGGUGCUGGUGUUUUUUCCUCGACUGCUCCUCAUUUUUAUUUUACACCUACCAAGGUUUUUAGUCACUUCAGCAGUAAAGCCAUGUUUAUUAUUGGCAGCUGAAGCAGCUCUGUUUGGGUUUCUAGAGACCGCAGCACCGGUGUUGAUAUGACUCAUUAGACAAAACUACUGCUCAAAAUCCUGCAGAGGGAAGCCUGCACCUAAUCAUGGAAGAGGGGCUAGCUGAGUAACAUUAAGCUAACUAAGCUAGCUAACGUUACAGCUCAGCCCAUGUUUGCAUCCUGCGCUCUCACAAGCACCCGCCAUUAGCCGUCGUGACCUUCGGUGACGCUGCGUCACCGCGACAGCCACCAUCUCUGCAAGCUUGUGUGACCUCCCCGAGCUGCGAUGCUGCGUCAUAACCUGACACCUCCCUGCGACACAAAGUUUGACCCAUUUGCCCCGAGCUACGACCAUACUGUAGAGACAGAUGGAGGCAAACACACACUGACAAGACACACACGUGUAAGAGGCAUGAUGCAUCUUCCGCUCAGGACUCGUACUGUAUGUAGAUCUAGGAACCCUAACCCGCACACAUCUGUCUAACUGUGUCAAAUUAAAUCCCUAAUACGGCAAAACAGAUUCCAGGACAUGACAGCGCUAUCGGAUCUUUCCACGCCUGCAUUCUCUGUGAACUAUCGCUUUAAUAUUGUCAAAUAUGAACAUGGUCCAUUUGACGACGGCGUAUCUAUAUUGCUGCAGUAUCCAGUUCCUUCUGAGUUGCUGCCAAGGGAGGUCUUAGAGGUGAGCUUCUUUUCUCUCAGAUAAAUUGCUUAUUUUUCCUCCUUCCUUCUCCAUGAACUGGACCUUUCGCCCCGGUCGGCCCUUUGGUGGCUCCGGAGUCAUCUACUUUUAUUGCACUUAAUGCUCCGAGGUACAAAAACAGCGGUGAUGCUCGGGGACUUUCUCGCCCUGGCACCCAAUGUAAGUGCCAAUCAAUUUUUAAUCACAGCCGAAUCGAUAGUAGCAGCUUAAUUUUGAAUAAGAAGAAGCCCUAAUGGGAAAAAAAAAUGGAAAGCAAAUGUAAGAUCUGAUGGAUUGUCUUUGAUUGAAUUCAGCCAUUGGUUAUGUGCGUACUCCGGAAACCUGAUCUCCGAGGAGGUUCCUGGGCGACGGUACACGCCGGGGUCAUAUAGCAAACAACACAAAACACAUUUAAUGGCCGGCUGAUGUGAAAUAUUUAAAUAUUCAUUUGUGCAUUUUCAUGUGAUAU